rnacentral:rRNA from 13 species
UUAAAUUGAAGAGUUUGAUCAUGGCUCAGAUUGAACGCUGGCGGCAGGCCUAACACAUGCAAGUCGAACGGUAACAGGAAGCAGCUUGCUGCUUUGCUGACGAGUGGCGGACGGGUGAGUAAUGUCUGGGAAACUGCCUGAUGGAGGGGGAUAACUACUGGAAA